rnacentral:ncRNA from 1 species
CACCUGGUUGAUCCUGCCAGUAGUCAUAUGCUUGUCUCAAAGAUUAAGCCAUGCAUGUCUAAGUAUAAGCUUUAAACGGCGAAACUGCGAAUGGCUCAUUAAAACAGUUAUAGUUUAUUUGGUGAUCGAUUACUAUUUGGAUAACCGUAGUAAUUCUAGAGCUAAUACAUGCGUCAAGGCCCGACUUCGGAAGGGCUGCGUUUAUUAGAUACAGAACCAACCUAGGCUCCGCCUAGUCCUUGUUGGUGAUUCAUAAUAACCCCGGCGAAUCGCACG